CCUACGGGUGGCAGCAGUGAGGAAUAUUGGUCAAUGGGAGAGAUCCUGAACCAGCCAAGCCGCGUGAGUGAAGACGGCCCUAUGUGUUGUAAACUUCUUUUGUCGGAGAACAAAACCCGGGACGUGUCCCGGACUGCGUGUAUCCGAAGAAAAAGGAUCGGCUAAUUCCGUGCCAGCAGCCGCGGUAAUACGGAGGAUCCGAGCGUUAUCGGAAUUUAUUGGGUUAAAGGGGUGCGUAGUGGGACCGUUAGGUCAGAGGUAAAAUUGCGGGGCUCAACCCCGUCGAGCCGUUGAAACUGGAAAACUUGAGUUGGCGAGAGGUACGCGGAAUGCGCGGUGUAGCGGUGAAAUGCAUAGAUAUCGCGCAGAACUCCGAUUGCGAAGGCAGCGUACUGGAGCCAGACUGACGCUGAGGCACGAAAGCGUGGGGAUCGAACAGGAUUAGAUACCCCAGUAGUC
rnacentral:rRNA from 1 species